UCUGUGUCCCUCACUGAAGGCAAUCAAUAUUCCCGUGGGGGAGGAGAAACGCCCUUUGGUCUGAAGAAGGGGAAGGAAAUUCAGACCAGUUAGUAAAACUCAACACAGUAUUUCCAGUUGUGCAGUACUGUAUUCCUAUGGGGAGAAAGUUGGCAUACAAAUAGAAUUUGAGGCCUGUCCAAAUCUGGCGUGCAAUCUCCAGCAGGUUCCACUCAGGUAAUCCAGCCAAGAAAAUGAAUCCAUUAAAA